UCUACGGNCUCAACCCGUAUCAGCAUUCAAAACUGUGGUUCUUGAGUAAUGCAGAGGUAGGCGGAAUUCCCGGUGUAGCGGUGGAAUGCGUAGAUAUCGGGAGGAACACCAGUGGCGAAGGCGGCCUACUGGGCAUCAACUGACGCUGAGGCUCGAAAGCAUGGGUAGCAAACAGGAUUAGAUACCCUGGUAGUCCAUGCUGUAAACGAUGAUUACUAGGUGUGGGAAGAUUGACCCUUUCCGUGCCGCAGUUAACACAAUAAGUAAUCCACCUGGGGAGUACGACCGCAAGGUUGAAACUCAAAGGAAUUGACGGGGGCCCGCACAAGCAGUGGAGUAUGUGGUUUAAUUCGAAGCAACGCGAAGAACCUUACCAGGUCUUGACAUCCAACGACCGCCUAAGAGAUUAGGCUUUCCUUCGGGACGUUGAGACAGGUGGUGCAUGGUUGUCGUCAGCUCGUGUCGUGAGAUGUUGGGUUAAGUCCCGCAACGAGCGCAACCCUUAUUACUAGUUACUACGCAAGAGGACUCUAGUGAGACUGCCGUUGACAAAACGGAGGAAGGUGGGGAUGACGUCAAAUCAUCAUGCCCUUUAUGACCUGGGCUACACACGUACUACAAUGGCUAUUAACAGAGAGAAGCGAGACCGCAAGGUGGAGCAAACCUCAGAAAAAUAGUCUCAGUCCGGAUUGGGGGCUGCAACCCGCCCCCAUGAAGCCGGAAUUGCUAGUAAUCGCGGAUCAGCAUGCCGCGGUGAAUACGUUCCCGGGCCUUGUACACACCGCCCGUCACACCAUGAGAGCCGGGGGGACCCGAAGUCGGUAGUCUAACCGCAAGGAGGACGCCGCCGAAGGUAAAACUGGUGAUUGGGGUGAAGUCGUAACAAGGUAACCGUAAAGGGCGAAUUCGGAGCCUGC
rnacentral:rRNA from 1 species